GACCUGGUCUGUUCUCUUGAGAGCCAUAUAGAGGGAUGAGUUAAGAAGCCUGCUAUAUGCUCUCGGGAUUCCAGAACACGUC